CCUACGGGAGGCAGCAGUGGGGGAUAUUGCACAAUGGGGGAAACCCUGAUGCAGCGACGCCGCGUGAGUGAAGAAGUAUUUCGGUAUGUAAAGCUCUAUCAGCAGGGAAGAAAAUGACAGUACCUGACCAAGAAGCCCCGUCUAACUACGUGCCAGCAGCCGCGGUAAUGCGUCGGGGGCAAGCGUUAUCCGGAUUUACUGGGUGUAAAGGGAGCGUAGACGGUUAUGUAAGUCUGGAGUGAAAGCCCGGGGCCGAACCCCGGGACUGCUGUGGAAACGGUGUAACUGGAGUGCAGGAGGGGCAGGCGGAAUUCGUGGUGUAGCGGUGAAAUGCGUAGAUAUCACGAGGAACACCGGCGGCGAAGGCGGCCUACUGGACUGAAACUGACGUUGAGGCUCGAAAGCGUGGGGAGCAAACAGGAUUAGAUACCCGGGUAGUC
rnacentral:rRNA from 1 species